rnacentral:rRNA from 1 species
UACGUAGGAUGCGAGCGUUAAUCGGAAUUACUGGGCGUAAAGUGUGCGCAGGCGGCAGAGCAAGUCGAGUGUGAAAGCCCCGGGCUUAACUUGGGAAUUGCGCUCGAAACUACUUUGCUGGAGUGUGGCAGAGGAAGGUGGAAUUCCACGUGUAGCGGUGAAAUGCGUAGAGAUGUGGAGGAACACCAAUGGCGAAGGCAGCCUUCUGGGCCAACACUGACGCUCAUGCACGAAAGCGUGGGGAGCAAACAGG